rfam:Shinella sp. DD12 SHLA_126c, whole genome shotgun sequence.
CAACGCCCGCCCGGCAAAGGCGCAGCCCGCCAGCCGGAAGCGAGUCUUGCAUGGAUGGCGGCAACGUCAUUCGUGAAGCGUAGACAGCGGGUGAUGAAGCGGUGGGGUAAGCCCCGAUAUCAUGAUCUUGAUGACGCCUUCGGAGUGUUGGGACCGGGGGCAGCACCCGACUUGCCGGUAUUGGCGAGGCAGGCGGGGUCGUCCGGGGUCUUGGGCCA